GUAUUUGUUUUUUAGAUCUGCAUUACACAGAUGGUAACAUUCAACGACGUUGUUUUAUAAAAAUGAGGGGUUUUCGAAUGCAUACACACUCUCCAGUUCACAGGAAUAGAUGGGGGGGUAAUGGGUUUUGGGUCCAGAAGGAACACCAUAAAUUCAUUAAUGAUCCUUCCGCAGGUUCACCUACGGAAA
rnacentral:misc_RNA from 1 species